AUUGAACGCUGGCGGCAGGCCUAACACAUGCAAGUCGAGCGGAACGGCGGACGGGUGAGUAAUGCCUAGGAAUCUGCCUGGUAGUGGGAGAUAACGACCGGAAACGGGCGCUAAUACCGCAUACUAUCAGAUGAGCCUAGCUGGGAUUAGCUAGUUGGUGGGGUAAAGGCCUACCAAGGCGACGAUCCUUACCUGGGCUGAGAGGAAGAACAGUCACACUGGAACUGAGACACGGUCCAGACUCCUACGGGAGGCAGCAGUGGGGAAUAUUGGAAAAUGGGCGAAAGCCUGAUCCAGCCAUGCCGCGUGUGUGAAGAAGGUCUUCGGAUUGUAAAGUACUUUAAGCUGGGAGGCGUUACCCGCAGAAUAAGCACCGGCUAACUCCGUGCCAGCAGCCGCGGUAAUAC
rnacentral:rRNA from 1 species